GACGAACGCUGGCGGCGUGCCUAAUACAUGCAAGUAGAACGCUGAAGGAGGAGCUUGCUUCUCCGGAUGAGUUGCGAACGGGUGAGUAACGCGUAGGUAACCUGCCUGGUAGCGGGGGAUAACUAUUGGAAACGAUAGCUAAUACCGCAUAACAGUAGAUGUUGCAUGACAUUUGCUUAAAAGGUUCAAUUGCCUCACUACCAGAUGGACCUGCGUUGUAUUAGCUAGUUGGUGAGGUAACGGCUCACCAAGGCGACGAUACAUAGCCGACCUGAGAGGGUGAUCGGCCACACUGGGACUGAGACACGGCCCAGACUCCUACGGGAGGCAGCAGUAGGGAAUCUUCGGCAAUGGACGGAAGUCUGACCGAGCAACGCCGCGUGAGUGAAGAAGGUUUUCGGAUCGUAAAGCUCUGUUGUAAGAGAAGAACGAGUGUGAGAGUGGAAAGUUCACACUGUGACGGUAUCUUACCAGAAAGGGACGGCUAACUACGUG
rnacentral:rRNA from 1 species